CGUGUUCCAGCCCUCUGAUCAUCUUCGUGACCCUCCUCUGGACACUCCUCUGGUUCCGUAUUUGACAUCUGCCCACUUGUAGUUCCAAAAGUGGUGAGGAAGGGAGGAAUGAAGUAAUGAAGGCAGCAAUGCUGACGGUGAUGUAAUCAAGCACAGGAGAGAGAAAAACAAAACCUCCCCAUCCACAGGUGUCACCUAAGCAAGUGGUGAACAAGGCAGAACAUUGAAGUUCCCCUGCACAAUGCAAGAGUUCCAAGUAAAGAGCUUAAGAAUGCAGCUGAGUUUUUGGUCCUUCAGCAUCAAGUCCCAGGAUGGACAUCAUACCUAAGCAGUUCACACAGGUGAAAAAUGUUACCCUGAAUGUUGGCAUUUUCCAUACAGCUAUCUGAGGGACAGUGAGAUAUUCUGCCAUGCAUAUUCCAGAUCAGUAGGAUAAAGAUGGGUUACAUGCAACCACAGAACCGUAGGGGUUGGAAAGGACCUCUGGAGAAUAUCUAUCUAGUGCAGCCCCCAUGAAGAUUGAUAACUGACACACCAAAAAGAUACAUCUCUAAAGAACUGAGGCUGUGAAAUCCUGGAAGAACUUGUUCAAACAUAUCAGGAGACCUGACGUCUGUGCUCCUUCUAAAACUUCAAGCACUUGACUAGAGAGCUUAACCAAGUAUUUGUCUAGCUGAGACUGAGCCACCUCCAUGAUCAACAGUAGUUAUAUAAGAAAAAAUUGCACUGUAAAUAGGCAAUUCAACUUCAAUCAGUCUCAAAACAAGCCUAGUACUGACCUAAGUGUUUCCUUUCCACUAUAAGAUGCUAUGAUGGGCUAUCUGAACAGCUCACUCUUCACUAAAACUCUAGCUUCUUCAUCCUCUAGUUGCUGUAGAGAUGGAACUGCCAGGUUCUCCCGCAGUGCCACUCUAUUUGUUUCAUUGAUAGAUGCUUCUCAUACUGUUCUCUCAUCCAAAUCAGAACAGGCUAUAAGAAGAGUUUCUGAGGUUGUUCCUUCCAUACCAGCAUCACCAGAGCCAGAGCUUGAGUUUUGCCUCUAUGCUCCAGCCUAAAACCUCCAACUCAAGAAAGAUUGUUGCUGCAAGCUUAAGCUCUUGGUCCCUUGGCUGGGGAGAUAAGAGUGAGGUGAGGAUGGUGAGGCUUAAGGCAGCUUAAAGCAACAUAUUGUCUACUAGUGACUGAGCACAUCACAACCUAGUACCUCUGGCCAUGUUCAGACACUAAGUGGGAUACCAUAUUAGGAGCAGUUCUGUGCUCAUGCCACUUAACCUUUCUUCCUGACAGAAACAAUAAUUCCUUCAUUACAGAAAUACAUUACGCAGUGCAUGUAAAUCCUCACAAUAUUCAUAAAAUAUAUCUGAAAAAAGCUUUUCAAACUUUCAGCACAAGUAAUACACCUUUAUAGCAUAGCAUACGUUACAAGAGACAAAACAAUUAGCUCUAAAUGGAUGAUUAAAUCAUUUUGACAAAAUGCUUAGGGUCAUUAAAAAUGUAUUUCAACCUACUCAACUAUACCAGAAAGCACAGAUUUUCCCAUUAUCACAUUUUUUAUGAUAUAGUGUUUCCUCACUUAAUAGCAAGAAACACUCUCAAAGAAUGCAGCUGUCAUUAAUUUUGUCUGAAUUCCACCAGCCCCUUAUUACCUGCCUCAUGCAUUUCAGCAGCACCCUUGCUCCCACAGCACCUAUUCAGUCCCUCACUCUAUUAGAAUGCAAUUCUGUCAUUUUAAAUCAGUAUCUAUGUAAGUAUAUAUAUUAAAAUUUAGUAUCUGUAUUGUGUAUACAUAUAUUUGAGUAUAUGUAUUGAAUGUUUUAAAGACAUAAUUUACAUCAAAAUUCUCCACUAAAAAAAAAA